rnacentral:rRNA from 1 species
GACGAACGCUGGCGGCGUGCCUAAUACAUGCAAGUAGGACGCAGUUGCGAACGGGUGAGUAACGCGUAGGUAACUACCUAUUAGAGGGGGAUAACUAUUGGAAACGAUAGCUAAUACCGCAUACUAGUAGAUGGACCUGCGUGGUAUUAGCUAGUAGGUAGGGUAAUGGCCUACCUAGGCAACGAUACAUAGCCGACGUGGGAGGGGGAGUGGCCAAACGUGUAUGGAGUAACGGCCCCGACUCCUACGGGAGGCAGCAGUAGGGAAUCUUCGGCAAUGGGGGGAACCCUGACCGAGCAACGCGGCGUGAGGGAAGAAGGUUGUCGGAUCGUAAAGCUCUGUUGUUAAGGAAGCGGUACUUAACCAGAAAGGGACGGCUAACUACGUGCCAGCAGCCGCGGUAAUAC